GGACACAGACGUCAGCAGCUGCGAAGAGGCCUGGCCUGGCCGUGCUGCACCCUCAUCUCUGCCUUUCAGCCUCCAGAAUGGUGAGAAAGACACUUCCUUUGCUUAUCAGUCACCCAGUCUAGGGUUUUUGUUACAGCAGCCCAGAUGGACUAAGACCACCUGCUCAAUCGUUUGUUUCUCAGAUGAAUAAGAACUCUCUGCCAGGGAAGAGACCUUCCCCAAAACCCCUCACGGGGGACGCUGGUUUUAGUGAUGUCUGCUUUCUAAGUGAGAGCCAUGAUUCAGGAUUGGAGAUGGUGUUUCUUCUCAGUUCUUCGUCCCACAUUUACUUGCUUGGCAUCUGCUCUGUGCCUGGCACUGCACCGGGCACCCUUUAGAUAAGGAUGAGCCCUGAAAAGUGGGAGCAGACGGCUUAAUGGAGCCUCGUUGUGACUCACCCCAGUGGGAAGGUUGAGGCACCUGCCUCGGGGGAAUCCACAGCCAAGAUAAAGCAUCACCCACCAGGCGUGGGGAUGGUCGAGCGUCACCAGAAUGAUGCAGGGUGGAAGGCACACGCCACAGCUCCCUCACUCUAGAAGGAUGUUUUUGAGAAGUCUACCUGCUCCCCAGAGGCAUGGGGCAGCCUAGUUCUCUCUUCCCCUCUUUUCUUUCUUCGCUCUCAAUUCCCCAUCUGUGAGUCACUCGGUAUCAGUCCACUAAACUCUUCUCAGCCCAUGUCAGCAGGAACCAGCUGGCUUUGUGGGGGAAAAUACCAACCCAGCUGUCUGUACAAGGAUGGUAAGAAUUAGAACCUUGGGUCCCAUACCUCCAGCUCACAUCUGGAGAAACUGAAGGGGAGACUUUGAAAUUUGGGGUCAAGGAAGCCUUGUAGCUUUUUGAUUAACAGCACGAGUUCUUGAGUCACCUGGCCUGGAAGAAAAAGCCCGCCUCGGCCGUUUAGUUACUGAUUGAUUUCGACCCAUCACUUCACUCACCAAGCUUCAGCUCCUCCUCUCUGACUAUAGGACAAGAUCAGUACCACGCUCCUAAGGCCAGCGAUGCUGCAAAAUGCAUAAUAACCUUUGGUUGUUAUUUUAGUGAUGAUUCUUCUAGAUUUCUCCUGAGAAGUCAUGCAAAACAGGAAUGUGAAUUGCAAAAAAGAUGCUGAGCAGGAAGGCACCAAAGAAAGCCUUUCUCCAAAGGGGAUGUUUAUUUCAGAGGCACACAGGGGGAAGCUCCACCAGCUGUUUUCCAGGAAAUCAUCCACUUCACCCAGGGUGGGGAUAUGGACAAGACAGAGUCCCGGCCUCCCUGGGAAACUGGUGUGAGGAAGUCCAGUCAGCAACACAACUGAGAGAGACCCCGCCGUGCCCAGUAGUGCCAGGCAUAGUGAAGUUAAGGCAGCUUUGGAGGAUGGAUUAGCAGGAGAGGGAGGCGAGCGCUGGAGUAGGAAACCCAACUGGCAGCCGGUCCACCGCUGUCCAGCAAAUCCGGUGUUGACUCGGAAGGUCAGUGGAGACGGAGGGAGUUGAGAGAUGUGGGAUCUGCUUUGGAGGCAGAGACAACAGAAUGGGAGAAAGGAAUCCAGGAUGACGCCGACGUCUUGGGGAGGCACUGCUGAGGAGUGUGAGUGAGGUCCCGCCUGACCCCAGCUAGUGGGCUGCUGCCUUCUUCUGGCUUCCGAACCAGAAAGGGAGAGAGAGGGACAUCUUCUGCUUUUGAUUCUAUAACUUUUCCGUACAUUUUGAAGUUUCUAACUAUAGGCACAUAUUUUUAUUAUGUUUUUUAAUAAGUUUAUUUAUUUAUUAUUUUGUCUUUUGAGGGUCGCACUCGCAGUCUAUGGAAUUUCCCAGGCCAGGGGUUGAAUUGGAGCUGUAGCUGCCGGUCUACGCCACAGCCACGCCAGAUCUGAGCCACAUCUGUGACCUACACCACAGCUCAUGGCAACGCCGAAUCCUUAACCCACUGUGCAAGGCCAGGGAUCAAACCUGGGUCUUCAUGAAUACUAGUCAGGCUUGUUACCCCUGAGCCAUGAUGGGAACUCUCUAUUAUUUGUUUUCUUAUUUAAAUAUCAGCAGGGCUUUUCUGAUCAAUAAGCUGAGAAUCCAUUUUUAUCUUCUUCAUUAGAUUUUAUUAAAAAAAAACCUGUUAAAGUGAAUAAAUGAUUAACUGCCUGAAAUAUUUAACUUGCCAUGCCAAGCCAAUUAAAUAUAAUGUUACACUUGAAAAGACAAAGGUCAUUUAAAGAGUGCAAGAAUUCCUCAACCCACACCAAACUGCUACCAGCCUGCUAGUGCCCACAAAGUUUGCCCGGACAAUAACCCUUUUAUUCAACAGAUAUCUGAGUGCCUACUGUGUACCAGGCAUUGUUCUGAGUACCAGUAGAUAAAACAAAGCUCACAGGGAGUCACAGACUAGAUUCAAGUUGGAGGAAACACAAUUAGUAAGUAGACAUUAUAUACAAACAUGUAACAAGUGCUGCAUUGAAAAAUUAAAGAAGGGCUGGGUGGCGAGUGACCGGUGGAGAUGGAGGGUGUGCACAGAACACAUGCCACAGUCGCAUCACUGCAGAGAAAGGUCAGGAGGCCUGAGGAGGCAGAGACUUCAGCAGUGACCUGGAUGGAGGCAAGGAAGGGAUGAGCCACACCAAGAGCUGAAGGACGGACCAGGAAAGGCCCUGAAAUGGGAGAGCUGGAAACCAUUAUCGGUCUUAAGGAACAGGAUCCUGGGACGCGUUGUGUGCAGUCUGCUCUGAGACGCUGACCAGCAGGAGCGGCACUCUGACAGGCCAGCGAUGGCAGACCUCAACCAAAUAAAAGUUAUGCAAAGUGUCAACCAAAAGAGCAAUGAUGAGCUUGGCGUGGGCCAUGGCUGAACCCGACUGGAGACCUCUGCGGCCCUCACACACAGCCACGGGGAGCUCACAGCCAUGAUUCAGUACGGCGCACAGCAGACAGAGAGGAGACACCUUACCUGUAUCAUCUACAGAUACCGCUUGAAAAAUCACACGUAAUUAGGCCCUUCUCACAGGGGAAGCUACUCGAAGCUCUAUCACCAGCUGUCCUCUAAAAACAGCAGCUCCGCGCUACCUAACUGAAGGAAAACGCAAUGGUGGGAGAUGUACUGACAUCUGCAGGGUGGCCCUGAGGUGGCUUCCCCCCCAGACUGUUCUGCUCCAUUAAUCCUGGUGCAAGAAAUAAGAUGUCGUGGUCACUAGGUGCCACCCCUGCUUGUCCUCCAUUGGCCCUUGCUGUACACAGGCAUACAUUUCCCUUGAGCAACGUCAGAUGAGAAAGUGAUUUCAUUUCCAUCACAGGGGAGAAGACAAACAGAAGACCCAGAGGCAGCGACUUGCUUGGAGGCCUCCAAGGCUGUCAGGAAGCAGGAUGCAAGCAGAGCCUUGAAACAUGUUUGCACCAUGGGUCUGGCUCUUUUUGCACGUCCAGCAUGGCCAUGAGAAGCGGCUGCCUAUUUAUCCAAAAAGGAUGAAAGACACCUGGAGCAGACCUGGAUGCAACCCACAUCUUGAAGUCCUGACGAGCCUGGAUCACCUGAAAACCAGCCAACUUGCAGAUGCUGUUGUGAGAAAAUUGAGGAAUGAAAAGGAUACGUGACUUACCCAAACAAUGGCCAUGUCGUGAGAACAUUCAAGAAAAACUCCACAUGGUGAAGAACUGAGGCCUCCAGCCAACAGCCGUGUGAGUGCACCAUCUUAGAAGCAGAUGCUCCAACUGCAGUCAAGCUUUUAGAUGCUGGCAGCCUCGACCAACAUCCUGACUGUACCGUGACUACUUGGGAGAGAGCUUGAGGCAAAAUCGUCCAUCCAGACUGUUCUCAGUGAUUCCUGACCUCAGAAACUGGGAGAGAAUCACACACGACUGGGGAUGUCCUAAUUUCCAAGGAAGACCUGUGGUGGCUCAUGUUCAAACACGGCCCUUGGAUAAGGGCUGGUCUAGUGACUUUCCAACAGAUAGAAUACAACAAACAUGAUGCAACGUCACCUCAGGAUCAGAUCCUUCCACCUUUGCCAGCAGACUCUACUGCCUGCUCAGCUUAUACACUGUGAUGAAGCAAGCUGCCACGUGAGGAGGCCCCGUGUGGCAAGGAGCCUCUGACCAAGAUCAAGAAAAGACCCGAAGUCCUCCAUCCACCAGCCCUUGAGGAAACCAAUCCUACUAAGAGGUACGUGAGCUUGGAGGCAGAUGCUUCUCCACUUGAGCCUUCAGAUGAGGCCUCAGCCUCAAGUGACCCCUUGAGUGCAGACCUGCAAGAGACCCAGCUAAGCAUGGUCCAGAUUCUGAUCUACAGAAACUGUGAGACAUGUGUGCCUUAUUAUAAGCUGCUGUGGGGGCGGGGAGUGGAUGGGAUGGGGGGGACAAUUUGUUACACAAAACUGAGGACUAACACAGACCUACCCAGUCAAUUAAUAACACAUAGAGAGGAAGGAAGGAAAGAGCUGGAUAAGGAGCUGGCAUCUCUGGAUUCUGGCCACAUUCCACCACCUAGUACAGAGGUGAUCAGAGAAAAGGCA
rnacentral:lncRNA from 1 species